CGUGCAAAGAAGGAGGACAAUGAAGAUCCAUCACAAUCUGAGAUGUUUGUUGUAACUCGUACGAGCAAAAAAGGAGAGACUGAUUCAGGAACACAAGAGACAAUUGAACAUCUUCAAAAUUUGAAAGAAGCAGGAUAUAAUGAUGAUGAAGCAGUUCAAACAAUUUUCGGAAAGGAGAGACAUGGAAGAGUUCGUUUCUAUGGUCGAUCAGUCACAAAAUCCUCUCUUAAAAAGGAGAAGGAAAUCCGACAAAUGCAGCAACAACAUAAUGAAGUGGUUUCAACUAUGGAGAAAAAUUAAAAUAACUUAACUUCCAAGUUGGACGGUUUAACAAACUUGAUUAAAACAUUGUUGCAACAAGUCAAUCCUGGUAUGAGUGCAGAACAAGUGCAAGUAAUGAUAGAAGCUGCCCAACAAUCUCCGCCUGACGCGAGUAGUGCACCAAAUGAUGUGCGGCGAAGCAUUCCUCCUUCACUUGGAUCGAACCAUGUAUCAAAGGAUAUGGAAAAAGACAUGAUGUGAUGAAGAAAAUAUGUCCCAUACAAAUAUCACAUAGGAUGGGUCUUACAAUGACCUUAGCUAUGUAAAUGUAAUAUUUUGAUGUGUUAUG